rnacentral:rRNA from 1 species
AGAGUUUGAUCCUGGCUCCUGAUGAACGCUGGCGGCGUGCCUAACACAUGCAAGUCGAGCGAGAAGAUUAUGAUUGAAGCUUCGGUGGAUUGAAUAAUUGGAAAGCGGCGGACGGGUGAGUAACGCGUGGGUAACCUGCCCUGUACAGAGGAAUAGCCAUUGGAAACGAUGAUUAAUGCCUCAUAAGACUACAGCACCGCAUGGUGCAGUAGUAAAAACUCCGGUGGUACAGGAUGGACCCGCGUUAGAUUAGCUAGUUGGUAAGGUAAUGGCUUACCAAGGCUACGAUCUAUAGCCGACCUGAGAGGGUGAUCGGCCACACUGGAACUGAGACACGGUCCAGACUCCUACGGGAGGCAGCAGUGGGGAAUAUUGCACAAUGGGCGAAAGCCUGAUGCAGCAACGCCGCGUGAGUGAUGAAGGCCUUCGGGUCGUAAAACUCUUUUCUUGGGGAAGAAAAAUGACGGUACCCAAGGAAUAAGCCCCGGCUAAUUACGUGCCAGCAGCCGCGGUAAUU